rnacentral:rRNA from 1 species
AUUGAACGCUGGCGGCAGGCCUAACACAUGCAAGUCGAACGAGUCGGGGGCGGGUGAGUAAUGUCUGGGACACCGCCCGAUGGAGGGGGAUCACUACUGGACAGGGUAGCUAACACCACAUACCAUCAGAUGUGCCCAGAUGGGAUUAGCGAGUAGGUGGGGUAACGGCUCACCUAGGCCACGAUCCCUAGCUGGUAUGAGAGGAUGAACAGCCACACUGGAACUGAGACACGGUCCAGACUCCUACGGGAGGCAGCAGUGGGGAAUAUUGCACAAUGGGCGCAAGCCUGAUGCAGCCAUGCCGCGUGUAUGAAGAAGGCCUUCGGGUUGUAAAGUACUUUCAGCGGGGAGGCGUUACCCGCAGAAGAAGCACCGGCUAACUCCGUGCCAGCAGCCGCGGUAAUUC